rnacentral:tRNA from 1 species
GCCUGUGUGGCUCAGUCGGUUGGGCAUCUGACUUCGGCUCCAGUCAUGAUCUCAAAGUUUGUGAGUUCAAGCCUCACAUCGGGCU